UCGCCAGAUUGUCCCACACUAUAUAAAGCAACCGACGACGCCUUUUCAAUCUCUUCAGUUCAAGCUAAGUAGCAGCAAUGGUAGACCUCAAGUCAUACGAUCAUCCCAACCAAUCUGGCAAAUGCAGCACAGGUCAGUUAUCUUCUGAGCAAACCCUAGACGUGGAUGAUGAACAAAUGGAUAUGCAGAAGGAUUAAAAUGUCAGUCUACGGGGGAUUCAUAGGCUGAGAUGAGAAUGAAGUAGUGGACAUUCUGAUUGGAGGUGUACAACCUCUGAACAGACCAGUGGGAUUGAGAAUUAACCACUUGACAUUCUAAAGUUCUUGUGCCUAUUGGAGGUGUGAUGACCAUAUCAGCUUGGGAUUGAAUGGCUGGUAUGGAGGUACAGGUUUGCCUCCACACUGCAUUGAAAUGCACCAAUCCAGGUUCUGAUGGGUAUGGCUGUCCAUAGUUCUUGCAACUGGCUCUCUGGGUGAUGUGACCAGCACUAUUCCAUGGUUUUAAGGUCUUGGUACACCAACCAAGGUGGAUGAGGCCCCUAUUCUGUACACAGGUGUUUCUCUGGCUUGUCACUUAUUGCCUAUUGGUUGCAUCAGGACAUUCUUAGGAGACCUCUUACAGCAUUGUGUAGUCAUUGGUUGACCAACUGUUCAAUUGUGUGGGACUUUGUCUAUACCUGCAAAUGUCCUACAUUUCAUCAAAUCUUAUUAGAUUCCAGUUUAACUUGGACCAAGAGGACAGUUGACAAAUUACAAGUAAGGGCCAUAUACUGAAUCUAUGGUCAUUAUGUCAAACUUGAGGUGCUCAUGUGAGUUUUUGGACUGGCAAAACUAACAGUAAGCUGUCAUUCAGGGCAGAGCCCCACACUUUCAGUGAGAUAUUUUGCCACUAAUACAUGUCAUCAGUUUGUUUUAAAACAAUGUAAAUAAAGCUACAAACAUGG